CCUACGGGUGGCUGCAGCAAGGAAUUUUCGGCAAUGGGGGCAACCCUGACCGAGCAACGCCGCGUGGAGGACGACGGCCUUCGGGUUGUAAACUCCUUUUCGGGGGGAAGACAUCGACGGUACCCCCGGAAUCAGGCUCGGCUAACUCUGUGCCAGCAGCCGCGGUAAGACAGAGGAGCCAAGCGUUGUCCGGAUUGACUGGGCGUAAAGCGCACGCAGGUGGUGGCGCAAGUGCGAUGUGAAAGCCGGCGGCUUAACUGCCGGAGGCCAUAGCA
rnacentral:rRNA from 1 species